GACGAACGCUGGCGGCGUGCUUAACACAUGCAAGUCGAACGGAAAGGCCCUGCUUUUGUGGGGUGCUCGAGUGGCGAACGGGUGAGUAACACGUGAGUAACCUGCCCUUGACUUUGGGAUAACUUCAGGAAACUGGGGCUAAUACCGGAUAUGAGUUUCUGCUGCAUGGUGGGGGUUGGACAGUUUCGGCGGUUGGGGAUGGACUCGAGGCUUAUCAGCUUGUUGGUGGGGUCGUGGCUUACCAAGGCUUUGACGGGUAGCCGGCCUGUGUGGGUGACCGGCCACAUUGGGACUGAGAUACGGCCCAGACUCCUACGGGAGGCAGCAGUGGGGAAUAUUGCACAAUGGGCGGAAGCCUGAUGCAGCAACGCCGCGUGCGGGAUGACGGCCUUCGGGUUGUAAACCGCUUUCGCCUGUGACGAAGCGUGAGUGACGGUAAUGGGUAAAGAAGCACCGGCUAACUACGUG
rnacentral:rRNA from 1 species